ensembl:processed_transcript
GUGAGUCUUUUUUUUCCAUCUAAACCGGAGAAACCCCCAAAGUAGAAGGAAUCCAAGCUUCUUUCCACCUUUGAACUGACCUGCUACAUUCAGAAGGGUAUUUCACAGUGCUUCAUUUUUAAAAGAACUUUUGACUAUGAGACAGGUCUGUUCCCUAUGCCACUUCAAAGAUGAUGAGCACCAAUAACCUCCAUAUGGAAUAGCUUCAACUGUGGCAAGCUAAUCACCGGGCAAAGAAAAUUAUGAAGAAAACUAUGCUUCAACUACAGACAAGUCUGUACAGAAAGGACAAACAGAUACAGGGAAGUCAACCACCAAGCUCUGCCAAGACAGGCUAAGCAAGUCCUUCAUAAUUCCUGCUUCACAAAAAAGUCUGUUAGCUAUACUGAGCAUAAGGCUGAAGAUGGAUGCUCCUACAUUUUAGAGACAAUUCUGGGUAGCUGUGCAGGAAGCCAACUGUCUGUCAGUCCUUAGUCUUGGAAGCUGCUGCUUGCACUUCCUGCAAAUUCAGGUCAUAUUUAACCUAUCUCGGGUCUCUGAUAGGGUUGAAGACUAGAUAGAGUCUUACUAUAAGCUUAAGUUGUUUAGAAUUUAAGAAGAUGUUCUAGAUCUGUAAAGAUCUUUUUUAAGAUGGUAAUACAAGUUAGGAUAGAAAAUUAUUUAGAUACAGAACUGUGAACUCACCAAGAUAGAAUAGAUAAUACUUUAUCUAAGCUGCCAAAUUUAAAUGGACUAGUCUUCACAAUUUUUCAUAACUGUUAUAAUUGUAUUCAAAUUGUAUUCAAAUUGAAAGAAAAAGAGCCUUUUAUUGGAACAAAAAGGGGAACGGUAGAGAUUAUAUCUUGUAUAUUGUAUGGAAGCAUCACCUGUCAUUAAAAAGUCUAUGGCCUAUGACUUAGUUAGGGAACAUUAGAAGGUGGAACAUUCGGCAGGCAGAAAGAAUUCUGGGAUAGAGGCAGGCACAAAAAGAUCUACCUGAGAAUAUUUAAGGAGAUGGACACAUGGUACCUGAGCAUAGGUAACUAGCGACAUGGCAGAAUGUAGGUUAAAAUAAAUGGGUUAUUUUAGUUACCAGCUAGUCAGAGAAGAGCCUAACUAUAUGGCCAAGGUAUUUGUGGUAGUUUGUAUAUGCUUGGUCUAGAGAGUGGCACUAUUAGGAGGUGUGCCCUUGUUGGAGGAAAUGUGUCACUGUGGAGGUGGGCAAUGAGACCUUCCUCCUAACCAUGUGGGAGUCAGAUGAAGAUGUAGAACUCUCAGCUCCUCCUGCACCAUGCCUGCCUGGAUGCUGCCAUGCUCCCACUUUGAUGAUAAUAGACUGAACCUCUGAACCUGUAAGCCAGCCCUAAUUAAAUGUUGUCC